rnacentral:rRNA from 1 species
CAGUAGCCACGGUAAUACAGAGGGUGCAAGCGUUAAUCGGAAUUACUGGGCGUAAAGCGCGCGUAGGUGGUUUGUUAAGUUGGAUGUGAAAUCCCCGGGCUCAACCUGGGAACUGCAUCCAAAACUGGCAAGCUAGAGUAUGGUAGAGGGUGGUGGAAUUUCCUGUGUAGCGGUGAAAUGCGUAGAUAUAGGAAGGAACACCAGUGGCGAAGGCGACCACAUGGACUGAUACUGACACUGAGGUGCGAAAGCGUGGGGAGCAAACAGGAUUAGAUACCCCGGUAGUCCCUGUCUCUUAUAA